rnacentral:RNase_P_RNA from 1 species
CGCGGUAUGUUGCCGUAAGGUAUUACCGUGAGGAAAGUCCGGGCUUCACAGGACAGGAUAGCUGAUAACGUCAGCCGCGGGUAACCGCCGGGAAAGUGCAACAGAAAGAAACCGCCGCAUUUUGCGGUAAGGAUGGAAAGGCGAGGUAAAAGCUCACCCGUUCUCAUGGUAACAUGAGUCCGCUGUAAACCCUAUCCGA